rnacentral:misc_RNA from 1 species
GAUGAAGAACGCAGCGAAAUGCGAUAAGUAAUGUGAAUUGCAGAAUUCAGUGAAUCAUCGAAUCUUUGAACGCACAUUGCGCCCGCCAGUAUUCUGGCGGGCAUGCCUGUUCGAGCGUCAUUACAAACCUCAGGCCCCCGGGCCUGGCGUUGGGGAUCGGCGGAGCCCCCCGUGGGCACACGCCGUCCCCCAAAUGCAGUGGCGGUCCCGCCGCAGCUUCCAUCGCGUAGUAGCUAACACCUCGCGACUGGAGAGCGGCGCGGCCACGCCGUAAAACACCCAACUCUUCUGAAGUUGACCUCGAAUCAGGUAGGAAUACCCGCUGAACUUAAGCAUAUCAAUAAGCGGAGGA